rnacentral:rRNA from 1 species
GUCUACGGCCAUACCACCCUGAACGCGCCCGAUCUCGUCUGAUCUCGGAAGCUAAGCAGGGUCGGGCCUGGUUAGUAGUUGGAUGGGAGACUUCUCCCUUUUUCUUAUUUCACUUCCUAGCACCUGUCGCCGUCUAAC